AGUGAACGCUGGCGGUAGGCCUAACACAUGCGAGUCGAACGGCAGCACAGUAAGAGCUUGCUCUUACGGGUGGCGAGUGGCGGACGGGUGAGGAAUACAUCGGAAUCUACUUUUUCGUGGGGGAUAACGUAGGGAAACUUACGCUAAUACCGCAUGCGACCUACGGGUGAAAGCAGGGGAUCUUCGGACCUUGCGCGAUUGAAUGAGCCGAUGUCGGAUUAGCUAGUUGGCGGGGUAAAGGCCCACCAAGGCGACGAUCCGUAGCUGGUCUGAGAGGAUGAUCAGCCACACUGGAACUGAGACACGGUCCAGACUCCUACGGGAGGCAGCAGUGGGGAAUAUUGGACAAUGGGCGCAAGCCUGAUCCAGCCAUACCGCGUGGGUGAAGAAGGCCUUCGGGUUGUAAAGCCCUUUUGUUGGGAAAGAAAAGCAGCAGGUUAAUACCCCGCUGUUCUGACGGUACCCAAAGAACAAGCACCGGCUAACUUCGUG
rnacentral:rRNA from 1 species